ACUCAAAUGAAUUGACGGGAACCCACACAAGCGGUGGAGCAUGUGGUUUAAUGCGAUAACGCGCGCAAAACCUUACCAGCUCUUGAAUAUUUAGAUGAAUUUCUUUAAUCUGUAAAUUCAAUUAAUCUAAUUACAGGCGUUGCAUGGCUGUCGUCAGCUCGUGUUGUGAGAUGUCAGGUUUAUUCCUGAAACGAGCGUAACCCUCGUAUUUAGUUGCCAAUAGAAUAAUAAAUCUUGUAUUUAAUCUAUUCUAGGAACUCUAAAUAGACUGCCUGUGAAAGAAAUAGGAGGAAGGUGAGGAUGACGUCAAGCCCUCAUGACCCUUAUGGGCUGGGCUACACACUUGCUACAAUGGUAAUUACAAAGGGAAGCAAUAUUGUAAAAUGGAGCAAAUCCUUAAAAAUUAUCUCAGUUCAGAUUAUUCUCUGCAAUUCGAGAAUAUGAAGUAGGAAUCGCUAGUAAUCGUGAAUCAGCAUGUCACGGUGAAUAUGUACCUGGGUUUUGCACACACCGCCCGU
rnacentral:rRNA from 1 species